rnacentral:lncRNA from 1 species
UUGGAAGUUACAGAGCUAGUGCUAAUGUUGAUCUAAGUCCAUCUUCGACCACAUUCAAGAAUCAUAUGAGCUUCUCCUCCUUAGGAAUGUUGUCUCGAAUCACAGAAGUCGAGAACGAAAGUGGUGGAGCUAGUGGCCUUGAAGAUACGAAGGUCGGAAAUAGCAACUAUGUCAAUUUAUCUUAUGGUACCGGAUUCCCAUUUGGUUCUUGGAACGAUUCUACGAAUUUUGUUAGAAGGGGGUUCGAUAAUGAUGGGAAUGCUUUUAUGAAUAAUGAGGUAUCAUUUUGGAAUUGCCAGUUAGUUGCUGGG